rnacentral:rRNA from 1 species
UAGUAAACCGGCGGACGGGUGAGUAACACGUAGGUAACCUGCCUCUAGGUUUGGGAUAACCUCGCUAACGCGGGGCUAAUACCGAAUAAUACAACGAAUUCGCAUGGAUAUGUUGUUAAAGUGGGCUUCGGCUCACGCCUGAAGAUGGACCUGCGCCUCAUUAGCUUGUUGGUAGGGUAACGGCCUACCAAGGCUACGAUGGGUAGCCGGCCUGAGAGGGUGACCGGCCACACUGGGACUGAGAUACGGCCCAGACUCCUACGGGAGGCAGCAGUGAGGAAUAUUGGGCAAUGGCCGAAAGGCUGACCCAGCAACGCCGCGUGAGGGAUGAAGCUCUAAGGAGCGUAAACCUCUUUCGGGAGGGAAGAACUUCUCCAAAGUUAAUAAUUUUGGAGAUUGACGGUACCUCCUAAAGAAGCCCCGGCUAACUCCGUGCCGGCAGCUGCGGUAAUACGGGGGGGGCGAGCGUUGUCCGGAAUUAUUGGGCGUAAAGGGCGCGUAGGCGGAAUAGUAAGUCAGAAGUGAAAAUCAUGGGCUUAACUCAUGACCUGCUUUUGAUACUGCUAUUCUCGAGUGCGAGAGAGGAAAGCGGAAUUCCCGGUGUA